rnacentral:misc_RNA from 1 species
CAGAGUUGAAAGACUCUCCUCAAACCAUCGCGAACGUUACCCUUAACCGUUGCUUCGGCGGGCGGUCUCCUUCAACACCCACGGGUUGGGAAACCCCUCGGCCCCCCUUUCGCGGGGGGGCGCCCGCCGGAGGUCACGCAAACUCUUGAUACCUGAACGGCCUCUCUGAGUAUUCUGUACUGAAUUAAGUCA